GCGGUCUCGCUGCCCGCGCUGCCUGCUGCCGUUUGCGCGAACUAACUCUCUCCGUUCCCUGCGCCAGAGAGGAAGAACGAGCAGCGGCUACAACAUCCACCGGCCAGCAAAGACAUCUAAAUUCCAGUUUCUGCUCCAAAAGUUAUGUAAGCUUUUCAAACAAAAAGGCUGAGGACAGCCUCUAGCCUCCCUGGAAGAACAUUCCCCUGCUAUAUGGAAAACCAGAGGGAGGAACUGACCCAGUAACACCCGCUUUGCAAGACAGCACCUAGCGAUUGUGCAUGAAGUAUUCCGGGGGGACUUCUCUGUUUUAACUAUUCCAGGCUGCCUAAUAUUUAAAUACCCGCCGAGCCACAGUAAGAGAGACUGAGAGGAAGCAUGGUGAUUCACCUCUGCACUUCUUCCAAAUGUGGCAGUGCAGAGAGCAGGUAGUAGGGUGUCUUCCCAGCAGAUGGAGUCAGGAAGCAAACAAGCUUGCUAAAAAGGUAGCGCCACUCGGCUAAGAAUAGCUUUACUCUUUUGUCUCCCUGCAUGAAGGACGUUUCUGCUAUCAAAUAAAAGGAGCUUUGACAUCUGCUUUUAAAUCUUCUGACUUAUUUCUGAAGGGAAAGUUAGCUCCUAUUGCAGUGGUUCUCAAAUGCUUUUCUUGGAAAAGGCGUUCUGUGCUUCCCAAUUUUUAAAACUGCUAAACUCUGUUACUCACUUUCUCAUACAGCCUGCAGCAAAAUUCAGCCUGUCCUGCUAGAAAUCUGCAUGCAAACGCGGCAGACUGCCUUUCUACCUGCUUCCACAUAGCUAGGAGCCGUGCUGAGGAGUGAGGGAGAGAGAGAAGCAAGGGAACUUAGCACUGAGAAGGAGGCACUGGGCUGAGAACACACUGCCGUUUCCAUGAAGGAGGAACCCAUUGCCAUGUUUUCCAGCAACUGUAUGAAAGGUGCAGAAUUUGAAAUGAAAAUCAAAGCGGUUCCCAGCCGAACCCACAAACUUUUCACAUGAGGCUGUGGAUAGCUGUAUUUCCACAAUCUAGUGUGAAGAGGCCUGCAUUGCAAGCUGUUUGGAGGCACACAAUUUCCGCUCAUGGUCUGUAUAUCUUCCUUAAGUGGCAUGGUGUGCCACACAGGGAUUAUCUGCAGCUUAGUGCCUUCAGGAAAAAAAAAUACUGGAAAUGGAGGAGAUGCAGGAGCUUUCACCCUGGAACAGUUGUCCAGUUAAAUCUCACCAGCUGAACUGUAACUAAAUGUAGUCCAUGAUGGCUGGGUACUCAAAGAGGGCUGCAAAUCACAGAAAAUUUGAGAGAGCUGUGCUUAAAAUUUCUGCUCCCAGUCUGAGGACACAGUAUGAAUUCAAAAGUUAUAGUCUUCAUGUUGUCUUUCUGAACGUGGUGAAUUCCAAGGACCACAUUUAACAUGAUCAGUCUGAAUAUAUAUAAAUCCAAUACAAAUCCUGAUCCUUUGUGCACGUGAACAUCAUCUAUUUGAAUGGAACCUCACUGAAUUCCAUUUACUUGUAUCUGUUUGCAGGCUAGUGGUUUACUUAGAAAGAUUUCAGCAUUAAUGAAUCUUGCUGAGACAUGGAAAUUGGCUAACCACAUCUCUGCAAGAUCUGAGCCUUAGAAGCUGAGUUGGAAAUUAGUCAAUAACUUUUAAUAUCCAAAUAAAGUACUUAAUACUACUUUAUUUCCAUAAUUAUUAAACCAGAAAGAAAAGCUGAAGCAUUUAUGAUUUUGGUUCUUUCUAACGGUAUUGUUAUUUACAAUGAAAAGAGUAUCAGAUGGUAUGUGAUAUAUACUUCAGAUGACCCAAUUCCUUCUAAAGACCCGAAAAUGAAUGUAAAAGUUCCUUCCAAUCCCUUGCAUAUAUAUACAUUCCCUUGUAUAGUUCUCCUCUUCCCAGAAUAACUUUAGCCACACAUCAUCAGUAUCAUGUAUCUUAUUUAGUAACAAUACGCCCAUGAUUUUCAGUGGGCUGAUCUUGUUGCCGUAAAUUCAUCUUACUUUCCAACACAGCCUAUAAGCUGUUGAUGGGAUGUUCUUUCAGCUGUUCACUUAUAGAUUCAAUAAAG